UGGGGAAUAUUGGGCAAUGGAGGCAACUCUGACCCAGCAACGCCGCGUGAAUGAAGAAGGCCUUCGGGUUGUAAAGUUCUUUAAUUGGGGACGAAGAAAGUGACGGUACCCAAAGAAUAAGCCACGGCUAACUACGUGCCAGCAGCCGCGGUAAUACGUAGGUGGCAAGCGUUGUCCGGAAUGACUGGGCGUAAAGGGAGCGUAGGUGGCGCAGUAAGUUAGGAGUGAAAUCCCGGGGCUUAACCCCGGAACUGCUUUUAAAACUGCUGUGCUCGAGUGAUGGAGAGGAAAGCGGAAUUCCUAGUGUAGCGGUGGAAUGCGUAGAUAUUAGGAGGAACACCAGAGGCGAAGGCGGCUUUCUGGACAUUAACUGACACUGAGGCUCGAAAGCGUGGGGAGCAAACAGG
rnacentral:rRNA from 2 species